rnacentral:rRNA from 1 species
UACGUAGGGCGCAAGCGUUGUCCGGAAUUAUUGGGCGUAAAGAGCUCGUAGGCGGUUUGUCGCGUCUGUCGUGAAAGCUUGGGGCUUAACCCCAAGUCUGCGGUGGAUACGGGCAGACUAGAGGCAGGUAGGGGAGAUUGGAAUUCCUGGUGUAGCGGUGGAAUGCGCAGAUAUCAGGAGGAACACCGAUGGCGAAGGCAGAUCUCUGGGCCGUAACUGACGCUGAGGAGCGAAAGCAUGGGGAGCGAACAGG